UGCAAUUUAAAGCAAUCCCUCCAAUGUCUUUAGUGGCAAGUAUGUGCUGAGAUGUACAGAUGUUUCUGCCAGUGCAGGCUUUCCAUCAUAACUCGAAGCUAUGGAAUGUGCUUUGGAGUAGUCCUUAAUUUUAUUUCUAUUCAGACACAGAAAAGUAGGCAGUGUCAACAAAGAAAAAAAAAAUUCCUUCUUAAGCCCCACCAGUUUAAUAAUCUUUUGCUGAGUUUCCUGAUGUGGCUGUUUGCAUUCUUUGGUGAAUUCAGACUGACUGUGAGCAGCCUCCAAAUAAAACAUGGUCAUACAAAGAUUUACCUUGGCUGUACCGGUGCUUGGCUGCACGGGACACGGAGCAGCCAACUGGUUCAGCUCAAGCUGCACGUCCUCUUCCAGCAACUGCUUCCCAUCCAGCUCACCGCUGCCCGAAUUAGCAGGGCUGUUGCUUCAGCUCACAGAGGCAAUUUAGUUCUGGUGUUUGUGUCGAUGAUCAAUGAAGUCAGGAAGCUGCAUUUACAGAGUGUUCAAAGGCCCUUUUAUUCUGCAAGAAUCAAAUCCAGGCUUCCGUUAAAUGCAGUAAAGUCUCCCAUCAUUAAAACACUGAGGCUGCAAGUUUGGCCACAAAAAUGUUACAGCCAUGCAGUUGGUAUUCAGUCCUUUCUGCCCGCACUGCCAAGUCUGGCUUUUACUUAUUUAUUAAAUUUUACACGUCUCAUGUCUUUCGUGCAUUCUAUAAAGCCUCCGUGUUUACAGGCAUCUUAUUCACCCGCAAACCUCAGCUUGCAGUUGUUAAGGCCCUGCUACCAGCCCUCAGGACAGAGGAAGCAUAAAUGUGCAAUACGGCUGAUCCUCACAGGCAAAGCCAGAAGGCUCGUAAAAACCCGCAUUUCAAAAGUCAAAUCGUGGUUUUUUAAGAGGAUCUCAUGAACUCGGGCUCCCAUUUAUGUGUCCCAAGUGCCUGGAGCAGACAGCACCGACGACCGCCUGGGCCAGGCUGUGCCAAGAGCAGAGAGCGCUGCAACGGAACAGGGAGGAGCCCUCCUUCCAGUUACCGUGCUCCAGCUUUGCUGUCGCAGCCCGAGAGCCCUGCACCACGCGGCCCAUUUACCGCGUGCAGGACGCGUCCUGCUGCCCUGGAAGCACUCGGCCCCUCUUGGCCGGAUUUAGCGUGCAGGAAGAGCACAGGGCUGCUUAGGAAA
rnacentral:lncRNA from 1 species